CUUGAGGGGUACCCCAGUAAGAGGUAUGGUCAGGGUGAAUCGUCAGAGGGUUAUUGCUUACCUGGUCAUGGGUUGAGGGGGAGGCCUCCAUAGCUCUGGAUUGCUGCCGGGUGGUAACAGGUAGUGCUCCUUCUGGACUGCAGGCUGCCAAUUGGGACGUCAGGCAUCCUAAAUCAUUCCCCAGCAAUACUUCUGCUGGCAAAUCUGGCAUGAUGCCCACUUCCAUGGCCUUGGC